CAAUAUUAGGCCUACACUCCAGAUCUUGACAAUCUAGUCUAGAGUUUAGAAUGUUUAAAUUUACACAAAUAAAUAAAAUCAAACGUUUAUAUUGGUUUUAAAAUCAGAUAUUGAGAUAUGUCAAGAAAAAUAUGUAUAUAUAUAGUAUAUCUAUAUAAUAGACUAACGCCACUAACGGCUAACCCUAUAGCUGCUAUAGACUAUAGCCCUAUAUUGACAUUUUUUUUUUUUUUUUUUUUUUAUAAAUGUUCCUUCAGAGUUGAAGAUAUCUACUUGGUAGUCUAAACCUCAAAGGAGCUUAGGGAAGUGAUGGCAGUUGCAGGGUAUGAACCAGACGACCAUUCAGAGACCAACGAGGCGACCAAACAGUCCAUCGUGCAUACCACAUAACCAGAAUGUCAGUUUUCUUUAAGGGCAGCUGACAAUAAGAAUUGUCUAUGUAUGCACUACAGAUGCUGUUCAAUAUCUUUUCAUGAGGAAGCCUGCUCAUAAAGAAUGUCAGUUUUCUUUAAGGGCAGCUGACAAUAAGAAUUGUCUAUGUAUGCACUACAGAUGCUGUUCAAUAUCUUUUCAUGAGGAAGCCUGCUCAAAAAGAUCGCCACAUUUUCUUUAGGGGAAGUUGACAUUAAUCUUUUAGGUUAAUAAUAACCUAUGCAUGCAGUACAGAUGCUGUUCAUCAUCUUUUCAUAAGCAAGCCUGCUCAAGAAGCUGCUGCAUGGAAGUCAAAAUAUGAAUUAUUGCCACCAGUCUUGAAAUCAGCUUGUAAAGAAUGCUAAGAAUUGAAUGAAAAUGCUGUCUUGAUAUCUUGUUUGCGCUGUUAUAUUUGUCUUUUGUGUUGGUUAAUUAUUCCAUGAAUAAAAAAUAAAAAAAAGUUAAUUGUGUAAGUUUGAUUUAAGAAUAAAUGAUCAGAGCAUGCAAGUCUUAUAUAGUAUGUUACCAAAAAUUGUAUUGUUUGCUAGUGUUCAAACCCAAAAAUGUAAUUUAACUUGUCCAUUACUUUAUAAAUAUGUUGACAUUAUAGCUAGAUGUAUAUAGAAAUCAUGCACUGAUUCAAUUAUUAUAAUUUCCAAACAAUUAUGUCAAAUAAUUCUAUUGCUAGAUCUAAUUCAUCAGUGUGAAAGUAGACCUAUGUAAAAGGUUAAAAAUCUCAUACUAAACCAUUGAGCUGCAUUUGAACAAAAAGGGCAUUAUAAACAAAAAAUCACUAAUGAAUUUGUUUUAAACUACAGUAUUGAAAAACAUUAAAGAUUAUUCCUAAUUAAGCCAUAAUAAAAUUUAAUGACUGAACCAUCGGAGACAGUAUUUGCAUGAUAAUACCUAAUUGAGCCCUAAUAAAUAUUUCAGUUACUAAACCAUUAGGGCCAGCAUCGGACCUAUAAUGGCA